GCAUGCAGUUGAGCGUACCCAGCAAUGGGGAGCAGCGUAAGGGGCAGUAAGGCAUGGGUAUCUACCCGGGGAUCGGGCAUAGCCUGUAGAGAUACAGGGUAAUUCCCGAUGAUGUCGCAAGACCAAAGCUCCGGCGUCCCUGGAGGAGCCCAUGUGAUAUUAGCUAGUUGGUGGGGUAACGGCCUACCAAGGCGAAGAUGUCUAGCGGGUGUGAGAGCACGACCCGCGCCACUGGCACUGAGACACUGGCCAGACACCUACGGGUGGCUGCAGUCGAGGAUCUUCGGCAAUGGGCGCAAGCCUGACCGAGCGAGGCCGCGUGGGCGAUGAAGGCCUUCGGGUUGUAAAGCCCUGUCGAGGGGGAGAAAAGCCGCAAGGCGUGAUCUAUCCCUGGAGGAAGCACGGGCUAAGUUCGUGCCAGCAGCCGCGGUAAGACGAACCGUGCGAACGUUGUUCGGAAUCACUGGGCUUAAAGGGCGCGUAGGCGGGCUAUCAAGUCCGGGGUGAAAUCCUCCAGCUCAACUGGAGAACUGCCUCGGAUACUGAUGGUCUCGAGGAGGAUAGGGGCACACGGAACUGUGGGUGGAGCGGUGAAAUGCGUUGAUAUCCAUAGGAACUCCGGUGGCGAAAGCGGUGUGCUGGAUCCUUUCUGACGCUGAGGCGCGAAAGCCAGGGGAGCAAACGGGAUUAGAUACCCCGGGUAGUCCUGGCCCUAAACGUUGGGUACUAGGUAGUAGACUAGACAUGGGUUUACUUCCGAAGCAAAAGUGCUAAGUACCCCGCCUGGGGAGUAUGGUCGCAAGGCUGAAACUCAAAGGAAUUGACGGGGGGCUCACACAAGCGGUGGAACAUGUGGCUUAAUUUCGAGGCAACGCGAAAAACCUUACCUUGGGUUUGACAUU
rnacentral:rRNA from 1 species